ACCACUGCUCUCUUCAAAGCUGUCAGACAGGGACAUUUAAGUCUGCAGAGGUUACUGCUGUCUUUUUGUUUGUCUGUGCCCUGCCCCCAGAGGUGGAGCCUACAGAGGCAGGCAGGACUCCUUGAGCUGUGGUGGGCUGGGCCCAGUUGGAGCUUCCCGGCUGCUUUGUUUACCUAAGCAAGCCUGGGCAAUGGCGGGCGCCCCUCCGCCAGCCUCACUGCCGCCUUGCAGUUUGAUCUCAGACUGCUGUGCUAGCAAUCAGCGAGACUCCGUGGGCGUAGGACCCUCCGAGCCAGGUGCCGGAUAUAAUCUCGUGGUGCGCCGUUUUUUAAGCCCGUCCGAAAAGCGCAAUAUUCGGGUGGGAGUGACCCGAUUUUCCAGAAAAUCAAGUCACCUUUGUAUUACUGUUCAUGAUCCUCAAGACCCCCAUUCAAUCCACCCAUAUUGCUCUGCGUUUACCACUGACAUGUUCACGUGAACAUAGAUUCCUUCAGUAAAUAUUGGGAAAACAUUUGCUUCAGGCCCAUUACUGGGUACCGCUUUGAUACAGAGGACACACCAAGGAACAAGACAGAUAGGACCUCUGCCUCUGGUAAGUUUGCAUUCCAGAGGGAGGAGAAGACAAUAAGCAAGCAAGCCAUCAAGACCACGUCAGAUGAGACGAAUAAAGUCAGACAGCUUCCAAGGAGUGGAUGCUUAUGGAGAGAUCACAUGGAGCCUUGUAGCUGAUUUAUAAUCUCAUGGUCCUCAUUCAUACAUCAAACCCCUGAAGGCCUGGCAUUUUUAUCUCCCGACUCAACCUGCAUGCUACCAGAAGCUCGACAAAAUUACGGUGAAUAAGACAUGCUUCUUCCCUUCAAGAAGCUUCUAGUCAAUGGAGGAUAUGUAAGGCAGCAAUCUAACAGCAAUACAACACUAAACGUUCCUUGAGAAAAACACAAACAACAGGCAGAACUCAUGUCUGAGUAGAAGCUUCUUAGAAGAACUGAGUAGAACUUGGAAGAAACAUGUACCUCCUUCACACACAUAAUAUUGUUUUAUACUAUGCUAUCUUGUUGUAGGGGUACGUGUUGAUAUAUAACCCCAUUUUGCAUGUGAAGUCAAUGGGCUCAGUGGGCUCAGAGAGAUACAGUGAUUGAUUUGUUCUAGUUCCUUUUUUUUUUUUUUUUUGAGACAGAGUCUCACUGUGUCACCCAGGCUAGAGUGCGGUGGCUCAAUCUUAGCUCACUGCAGGCUCCACCUCCCAGGUUCAAGCAAUUCUCUGCCUCAGCCUCCCGAGUAGCUGGGAUUACAGGUACACUUUACCAUGCCCAGCUAAUUUUUGUAUUUUUAGUACAGAUGGGGUUUCACCACGUUGGCCAGGCUGGUCUUGAACUCCUGACCUCAAGUGAUUUACCUGCCUCGGCCUCCCAAAGUGCUGGGACUACAGGCGUGAGCCACCACGCUUGGCCUGCUCUAGUUCUUGUAGGUAAUAAGAGAUGGUGUUAAAUUCCUGUAACUAAUAAGAGAUGGGCUCAAAUUCUCCCUUGAACUCUAAGUCUGGCCCCUGGGCCACAUAAAGUAGGUCCUCUAAGCCCCUUACACUGUGCACAGUUCAGCCCUAAGCCACUUGCCUAGACCCAUUGCAUGAACUGCAGCUGAAGCUGCUCCUGUCCCCUUCAUUAGUCAUCUGGGGUUACUGACUUCCCUUUGUUCUUCACACUUGAUGACAGCACUCUUGUCUUGCCCAUGUCUUGACUAUUCUUGACUAUAAUUUGAACCUUUAUUUUCAGGCUACCCUUUCUUGAGUAACACUAAGUCUAUCUAGCCUUGGAUUCGACCUGCUUUCUAGGCUCUUCUCACCUGGGUUCCCCCAGACUUUACUAGCAAAACAAUUCAUUCAUUCAUUCCACAAAUACCAAUUGAAUCUUUACUGUGUUCCUACUGUACUAAGUGGUGAUCAAAAUUGGAAGGAUCCCAGCUUUACGGAGUUUAUAGUUUAGUGAGGAAACUGACUUGGGGCAGACAUUCACACACAUAAUAAAAAUAUUAUAAUGGAGGGAAGCAUGAUAGAGAAAAGUAUGAAAAAGAAAAACAGGAGGUUCUAAUCUAGUCUACAUGUGUGCUGGUGAGUAUGUUGGAGAAGAGAGACAGUGUCAUGACAGGCUUCUAUAAGAAGAGUUUUUACGGCAGGAUCUGAAGUGUUGGAUAAAACUAAGUUACCCAGAUAAAGAAUUAAGGAAAUAGAAUUCUUAAGAGAAGUCCCAAAAUAUCUGGUCCUGAGGCAGGAAGCAGUUUGGCUUGUUCAAGAGCUAAAAGAAAGCCAGUGUGGUUGAGGCAUAGAGGCAAAAUAUAGCAAAGCAUUCUAAGUCAUUGAGGUUAGCACAGACAUUGAGAAUAAAAUAAUUAUUGCUUUAGUCCAGCAUAUUGUGUCUCCAAUAGAUAAGAUUUCCAAAAUAGUUUGGUCCAUAUAAUUUAUAAAAAUAUGAGUGCUUUAUUCUCUGUUGCAUGAGUAGGUGUUUUAAUCAGUCAACUUUGAGAUCGAGAGAGUUAUAAACCAGAAACUGAAAAAAUUACAUUAUUUCGUCCUACAGAAGAAUCAUCAUAGGGGACCCUUGUACUAUGUGUAGGCUGUACAAAAACUUGAGACUGUUCUUUAUCUAGAACAGGUUUUUAACAAUUUUCAUGAGCAACAUCAACAAUAUGGCAUGUUGGUUUGGAGUUUCAGUCAACUUUUUUCAGAAAGGUUUUCCAAUCUGUUUUCCAAAGUGUGUACUUUAAUCUGGGAGAGGAAGAUUCAUGGUCUUUUUUUUUUCCCUCUGGGCUUCUGAGACUGGAAAGUAGUAUUAAGUAGAGAAAAGUGGACACUGUAAAGAGGAAACUAAAUAAAUCCUUAAAGCCACUACUUGGCACCUUUUGUUUUUCUUUUCCUGGCAGCCUGCAUAGGUACUAGAAAGAAAAAUGUGGGCCAGGAGUGGUGGAUUACAUGACUGUAAUCCCAGCACUUUGAGAGGCCAAGGCAGGAGAAUUGGUUGAGCACAGGAGUUCAAGACCAGCCUGGGCAACAUGGGGAGACCUUGUCUCAAAACAAACAAACAAAAAGCCAGGUAUGGUGGCACAUGCCUGUAAUCCCAGCUACUCAGGAGGCUGAGGCGAGAAGACUGCUUGAGCACAGAAGGUGGACUCUGAAGUGAGCCAUGUUUGUUCCACUGCACUCCAUCCUGGAGCUUGGGUGACAGAGCAAGGCCCUGCCUCAAAAAAAUAGUGGUCUUUAGAGUCUUCUUCACAGUAAAAUUAGUGAUAAUGCCUUAUGAAAUCAUAAACAAUAAUAGAAUAAAGGCAAAUGGCUCAUUCUUGUGGAUCCUGCAUGAGUUCAAGAAAAGUUAGGGACUAUAUACUGGCAACAAAAAGUGAUCCCUGAGAUUUUUGGAGCACCUCAUUGCCAAAGCAAUCAAAAUGCUUUACACAUAUUCUUUCUUUUACCAUCACAUAAUUCUUGCAAUGUAGCAAAAAACUAUCUAAGGAUGGAAGGAUGUAUUUUAAAGAGGGGGAGAUGGGGACAUCAAAAGAGAGACCAGGCCAAAAGCACAAGCAAAAUAAUUAGUGGAGCAAAUAUGUUCAAUACUACUGUGUCUCAGUUCAUUUAAACAAAUAUUAAAUGAGUAAGGCAUAGCCAGUGCCUUCUAUGAAUCACAAUUCAGCAAGAAGGUUAAGAUAUGUUCAUUCAUUGAUGUAUUUCUUCAAUCAAUAAACAUUUGAGCACCUAUA
rnacentral:lncRNA from 1 species